UCUUUAGAGUUUGAUCUGAGAGUUGGAUCAAUGCUCAGGAUGACUGCUGACUGUCUGCUUAAUACAUGCAUGUCGAGCGAGUUCUUUUGAUCCGAGCGGCAAAUGGGUGAGUAACACGUGCUUAAUCUACCCCUUAGAGUGGAAUAGCCAAUGGAAUCAUAGGCUAAUGCCGGAUACGCAUGGAAUCGCAUGAUUCCGUCAUGAAAGGAGCAUUUAAAUCUCCGCUAGAGGAUGAGCGUGCGGAACAUUAGUUAGUUGGUAGGGUAAUGGCCUACCAAGACUAUGAUGUUUAGCCGGGUCGAGAGACUGAACGGCCACAUUGGGAGUGAGAUACGGCCCCAAACUCCUACGGGAGGCAGCAGUAGAGAAUAUUCCACAAUGAGCGAAAGCUAGACGGAGCGACACAGCGUGCACGAUGAAGGUCUUCGGAUUGUAAAGUGCUGUUAUAGGGAAAGAACACCUGGUUGAGGAAAUGCUUCCAGUCUGACGGUACCCUGUCAGAAAGCGAUGGCUAACUAUGCCCAGCAGCCGCGGUAAUACAUAGGUCGCAAGCGUUAUCCGGAAUUAUUGGGCGUAAAUCGUUUUUAGGCUGUUUAUUAAGUCUGGAGUCAAAUCCCAGGGCUCAACCCUGCCUCGCUUUGGAUACUGGUAAACUAGAGUUAGAUAGAGGUAAGCGGAAUUCCAUGUGAAGCGGUGAAAUGCGUAGAUAUAUGGAAGAACACCAAAGGCGAAGGCAGCUUACUGGGUCUAUCCUGACGGCGAGGGAGGAAAGCGAGGGGACCAAACAGGAUUAGAUACCCUGGUAGUCCACGCCGUAAACGAUGAUCAUUAUACGGUGGAGAGUCACUGACGCAGCUAACGCAUAAGUUUCCACGGGGGGAAAACCCCCAAAAU
rnacentral:rRNA from 1 species